rnacentral:rRNA from 1 species
AUUGAACGCUGGCGGCAUGCCUUACACAUGCAAGUCGAACGGCAGCACGGGAGCUUGCUCCUGGUGGCGAGUGGCGAACGGGUGAGUAAUACAUCGGAACGUACCCUGAAGUGGGGGAUAACGUAGCGAAAGUUACGCUAAUACCGCAUAUUCUGUGAGCAGGAAAGAGGGGGAUCGCAAGACCUCUUGCUUUAGGAGCGGCCGAUGUCGGAUUAGCUAGUUGGUGAGGUAAAGGCUCACCAAGGCGACGAUCCGUAGCGGGUCUGAGAGGAUGAUCGCCACACUGGGACUGAGACACGGCCCAGACUCCUACGGGAGGCAGCAGUGGGGGAAUUUUGGACAAUGGGCGCAAGCCUGAUCCAGCCAUGCCGCGUGAGUGAAGAAGGCC